UCAGCGAACAUCUUGCAUGAGCCCAGUUUGGCAUGCUCAGGAGGGCCAAAUGUAUAUCUGCGUUUUUGACUGCAUACUGCAUCCCCCCUGACAUAUCUUGAGAUGUUCAUAUCAUUGAUUUACUGCAGGGGGAGAGAGGCUGGGAUAUAAAGGCAUCUCUUGUCGGUCUUGGAGAAGCAUUUAUGCAGGCCUCAUGACUUUAAAAGGAUUUGUGACAAGCCAUGAGUCUUGAGAAAAUAAACCAUGAUGAAUUCCCAUCCAUAAAGACCAUUCUGAAGGGACUCUAUUGUGGGGCCAGUGCUGAUCCAGAGCUUUGCUUUGGAAGAUGAACUCUCAUCUGUGAGCUAUAGCUAAGACUCUGCUGGAAGACCGUUGCAGCAGAUUUUCCUGGAGAAAUGUUGGGCAGAGAUGCCUCCAGAGGAGAUCAUGCUGGGGACUGGAAGUCAGCUGGCAAAGUGACAC